rnacentral:rRNA from 1 species
CUUCUGGCAAGGGUACUGUACUAAACUAACUAAAGUGGGGGAUAGUGAGGGGAUAAAUUUUCUUAAGGAACUCGGCAAAAUCCCAAUGGCCCACCAGGGCAUAUUGGAACACGGGCCUCGACUGUUUACCAAAAACAUAGCCCUCGGCUAAUAUGAAAAUAGAUGUAUAGAGGGUGAUGCCUGCCCAAUGGUUGUAUCUAAAAGCGGUUGAUAAAAGUUGACCUCGUAAGGACAAUUGAAUGGCCGCGGUAACACUGACCGUGAUAAUGUAGCGUAAUCAAUAGCCAAUUAAUUGUUGGCCAGUAUGAAUGGCGCCACGAAGGCCCCACUGUCUUAAGGAAAUUCCCAGUGAAAUUGAAUUCGUAGUGAAGAUGCUACGUCCAAUUUGUUAGACGAAAAGACCCCGUUGAGCUUUACUGGAGCACUUACAUGGCCCCGGCCUUCCCAUGCCUGGGAACCGGCCGAAUUUAAAUGGGCGGCUUAGAUUAUGUGGCAGCCCCCCGCUGGGGCAAAUGAAACACCACUCCCCCAUGUCAAAGGGGCUAACCCCCCCCCUUGGGGGGACAGUGUAAGUAGGACAGUUUGGUUGGGGCGACCACCUUUUAAAAAGUAACGAAGGUGCGCUUAAGGUGCGCAAUUAAUGACUGAAGCCUGACUGCGAGGGGGACACCCCGAGCAGACACCCCAAAGCCCGCCCGAAAGGCGGCGGUGGGGUGGGCCAUAGUGACCCGUUAAUUUAGAGUGGAAUAGUUAACGAUCAACGAAUAAAAGUUACCACGGGGAUAACAGCGUAAUAUCGUUAGAGAGUUCACAUCGACGACGAUGUUUGCGACCUCGAUGUUGAAUUGCGGCAUCCUGGGGUGCAGCCGCUCC